GAUGAACGCUGGCGGCGUGCCUAAUACAUGCAAGUCGAGCGAACAGACGAGGAGCUUGCUCCUCUGACGUUAGCGGCGGACGGGUGAGUAACACGUGGAUAACCUACCUAUAAGACUGGGAUAACUUCGGGAAACCGGAGCUAAUACCGGAUAAUAUAUUGAACCGCAUGGUUCAAUAGUGAAAGACGGUUUUGCUGUCACUUAUAGAUGGAUCCGCGCCGCAUUAGCUAGUUGGUAAGGUAACGGCUUACCAAGGCGACGAUGCGUAGCCGACCUGAGAGGGUGAUCGGCCACACUGGAACUUAGACACGGUCCAGACUCCUACGGGAGGCAGCAGUAGGGAAGCUUCCGCAAUGGGCGAAAGCCUGACGGAGCAACGACGCGUGAGUGAUGAAGGUCUUCGGAUCGUAAAACUCUGUUAUUAGGGAAGAACAAAUGUGUAAGUAACUAUGCACGUCUUGACGGUACCUAAUCAGAAAGCCACGGCUAACUACGUG
rnacentral:rRNA from 1 species